GGGAGAGAGAGGGAGAGAGGGAGAGAGGGAGAGAAUGUUAAGCAAGCUCCACGCUAAGCAAGCUCCACGCUUGGUGUGGAGUCAGACUCAGGGCUCAACCCCACGACCCUGGGAUCGUGACUUAAGCCGACUGAGCCACCAGGAGCCCCAAGAAAGAGGAAAUCUGAAGGCAGAGGCAUACACACAGGGAGAAGACGGGGUCCACUCGCUAAGGAGAGUGGCCGGGAACAGAGUCUCCCACGCAGCCUCAGAGAGAACCGACCAACUGCCCGCACCUUCAUCUGGGGCUUCUAGUGUCCAGAACUGAGAAGCACACUUUUUUUUAAGCCACUCCACUUAGAGCAGCACUUCCCUCCGGCAGCCCUAGCAAACUAAUAGAUACGAUAUGCUUGUAAAUAUUUUCUAGUAGUUUGGAAACUCACCUCUGUCUAAACUCACUGUUUUUACAGAAAUGCCAUUAUCUUAUUCAUGCCACCAUGCCACUAACUUUUCCCUUUUAUGAUACAUGAUGUGCAUCUGCUCCUUUUUUUUUUUUUUUUUUUUAUUUUUUAUUUUUGAGAGAGAGACAGAGCGAAAGCUGGGUAGGGGCAGAGAGAGGAGGAGACACAAUCCGAAGCAGGCUCCAGGCUCCCAGCUGCCAGCACAGAGCCCGACGUGGGGCUCGAACUCAUGACUCACGAGAUCGUGACCUGAGCUGAAGUCGGACGCUUAACCGACUGAGCUACCAGGCGCCCCAGCAUCUGGUCAUUCUUGUAAGUAGCUGCUCAGGGGCACUCCCUGCACCCCCUGCCUUUCUUUCCCCAGGACUCUCUGGGUGGAGACUUCGGUGACUUCCAGGCUGCUGCUCUGAAAACAAUACGGCAGUGAUGGGGUGAUAUUUCCACCUAUCUCCCACCGGCCACCCACGUGGAGGCUGGCUGUCCUCUAGAGGCCGGCUGGGCCUUCCUGGGGCUCAGGUCUCCCUCCUCCGAGCUAGAGGAUUCGUGGCCGGUUCCUUCAGGAUGAGCUGGUGGCACGACGGCCACCUACACCUUUAACUCUGCCAGUUUUCAGUGGCCGGCUUGGAUGUUCCCAGGAGUUGAUCGCAUUGUCUCGUUAUGUAAUGGUCAUGUUGCCUCCUCCUUUCUAAUAUUCUAUUUCUGAUGUCUGCCUUAUUCAGCCAGGCAGAACUUCCAGAAUAAUACCAGGUAAACCGGCGAGGGGGGAAUAUCUUUGAAUCUUUCUUCAUCCCACUCUCUGUGGCCCCUCCAUCCUGUCCUCCUGGUAAUCUGUGAAAGUGCCCCCGGGGGCUGUGCUCCCAGCCCCUCGGAUGGAGUAGUGACUGCUUCCCCCACACCCUGCGUUGGGGCCGGCCGUGAGGCAGACCGCAUUUUCCUGUAGAAAAUGUCUAUUCAGAAUCCGUGAGUGGACCUGAAUGCACUGGAUGGAUAGCACCUGGGGGGACAAUUGUACGGCACAGGGAUUUGACCUGAGGCUAAUCUAUUAUCACCAUCGGUUGCCAUUUAGUUCAAAGUGACUGUCUUCUGGGAAUUCCGAAAGGCUUUGGAAGCAUGGUAUGGAUUGCUUGGGUUUUUGGGGUUUUUUUUUUUUUAGCUUUUAUUUAUUUAUUUCGAGGAAGAGAGAGACAGAGACAGAGAGAGAAUCCCAAGCAGACUGCAUUGUCAAUGCAGCCUAGCGCAGGGCUCGAUCUCAUAAACCAUGAAAUCAUGACCUGAGCUAAAAUCAAGAGUCAGAUGCUCAACAGACUGAGCCACCCAGGUGCCCCAAAUCAAGGCACACCGGAUCGAUCCCUGUCCAGGGAAAAACUUAACGUUUCUUCAUAUUUAUUCCUGUAGCCAGUAGCAGCCUUAAAGCCACUUAUUUGAUAAGACCUGUACUCCAGGUGAAGGAUUGAUCGUGUUUAAAGGAGACCUUUGUAUUGCUAUGAAGACAAUAUAUACACAAAAUAAAUGAAAGCUUAAAAAACAGAAAAUUCAAAGUCCUGCUACCCUGACACAAAAAUUAUAUUCCUUUUUUGUUCAUUUACAUCUUGUCUCUGCCCGUCUAUUUAUCUUUUUCAGAAUUGCAGUCAUUGAGUUAAUACAAUUUGAGCAUUGUUUGCUUCAUUUAAUAAAUGCGCUCGUGGUUCUAUGUAA